GAUGAACGCUGGCGGCGUGCCUAAUACAUGCAAGUCGAGCGAACAGACGAGGAGCUUGCUCCUCUGACGUUAGCGGCGGACGGGUGAGUAACACGUGGAUAACCUACCUAUAAGACUGGGAUAACUUCGGGAAACCGGAGCUAAUACCGGAUAAUAUAUUGAACCGCAUGGUUCAAUAGUGAAAGACGGUUUUGCUGUCACUUAUAGAUGGAUCCGCGCCGCAUUAGCUAGUUGGUAAGGUAACGGCUUACCAAGGCAACGAUGCGCAGCCGACCUGAGAGGGUGAUCGGUCACACUGGAACUGAGACACGGUCCAGACUCCUACGGGAGGCAGCAGUAGGGAAUCUUCCGCAAUGGGCGAAAGCUUGACGGAGCAACGCCGCGUGAGUGAUGAAGGUCUUCGGAUCGUAAAACUCUGUUAUUAGGGAAGAACAAAUGUGUAAGUAACUAUGCACGUCUUGACGGUACCUAAUCAGAAAGCCACGGCUAACUACGUG
rnacentral:rRNA from 1 species